UUGGGGCUUGGUAUACAUGGGAUCGGAUUCUUCAAACAAGUUUGGAAGAUAAAGCCUUGUGUAGAUUUAUCACAUUUUCUCUCUCUAUUUCGACCCUAGAUUUAUAGGUGGAGAUAUUUAUCUUCAAAAAAAAAACGAAAAAAGAAAGAAAAAGAAAAAAAUAUAUAUAAUAGGUGUUAGUUAGGUGGAAUCUGAACAGGACUUGGUGGCUACAACCAUUAAGGCUUGCUUCAUAAAGAUUCCAACAAAAAGAAUUCGAACGGGACUUGCUG
rnacentral:lncRNA from 1 species